rnacentral:rRNA from 1 species
UCCGAAUUGUAAUCUAGAGAAGUGUUUUCCGUGACGGACCGUGCAUAAGUCUCCUGGAAUGGAGCGUCAUAGAGGGUGAGAAUCCCGUAUUAUGGCAUGGACUCCCGUUGCUCUGUGAUACACUCUCGACGAGUCGAGUUGUUUGGGAAUGCAGCUCCAAAUGGGUGGUAAAUGCCAUCUAAAGCUAAAUAUUGGCGAGAGACCGAUAGCGAACAAGUACCGUGAGGGAAAGAUGAAAAGCACUUUGGAAAGAGAGUGAAACAGUACGUGAAAUUGUUGAAAGGGAAACGCUUGAAGUCAGUCGCGCCGUUCAGGAUUCAGCCUUGCUUCUGCUCGGUUUACUUCCUGUUGGGUGGGUCAACAUCAGUUUUGAUCGGAGGAGAAAGGCUUGGGGAAGGUAGCAGCAUUUAUGCUGUGUUAUAGCCCCUUGUUGUAUACUUCGAUUGGGACUGAGGACUGC